rnacentral:rRNA from 1 species
AUUGAACGCUGGCGGCAUGCCUUACACAUGCAAGUCGAACGGCAGCAUGAUCUAGCUUGCUAGAUUGAUGGCGAGUGGCGAACGGGUGAGUAAUACAUCGGAACGUGCCCUGUAGUGGGGGAUAACUAGUCGAAAGAUUAGCUGAUACCGCAUACGACCUGAGGGUGAAAGUGGGGGACCGCAAGGCCUCAAGCUAUAGGAGCGGCCGAUGUCUGAUUAGCUAGUUGGGGAGGUAAAGGCUCACCAAGGCGACGAUCAGUAGCUGGUCUGAGAGGACAAUCAGCCACACUGGGACUGAGACACGGCCCAGACUCCUACGGGAGGCAGCAGUGGGGAAUUUUGGACAAUGGGGGGCAACCCUGAUCCAGCAAUGCCGCGUGUGUGAAGAAGGCCUUCGGGUUGUAAAGCACUUUUGUCCGGAAAGAAAUCGCACUUACUAAUAUUAGGUGUGGAUGACGGUACCGGAAGAAUAAGGACCGGCUAACUACGUGCCAGCCGCCGCGGUAACAC